AUUGAACGCUGGCGGCAUGCUUUACACAUGCAAGUCGAACGGCAGCGCGGGCUUCGGCCUGGCGGCGAGUGGCGAACGGGUGAGUAAUACAUCGGAACGUGCCCAGUAGUGGGGGAUAGCUCGGCGACAGCCGGAUUAAUACCGCAUACGACCUGAGGGUGAAAGCGGGGGAUCUUCGGACCUCGCGCUAUUGGAGCGGCCGAUGGCAGAUUAGCUAGUUGGUGGGGUAAAGGCCUACCAAGGCGACGAUCUGUAGCUGGUCUGAGAGGACGACCAGCCACACUGGGACUGAGACACGGCCCAGACUCCUACGGGAGGCAGCAGUGGGGAAUGUUGGACAAUGGGCGAAAGCCUGAUCCAGCAAUGCCGCGUGUGUGAUGAAGGCCUUCGGGUUGUAAAGCACUUUUGGCGGGAACGAAAAGGACUGUGCCAAUACCACGGUUCGAUGACGGUACCCGCAGAAUAAGCACCGGCUAACUACGUG
rnacentral:rRNA from 1 species